AAUAUAGUGAUUUAUUAUUUUUUAUAACUUAAAAUAAUUUACUACAUUUAAAGUAGAUUUGAGUGCUUGUUUUAUUUGUAGAAGAUAUAGUUACCUUUUAAUCUUAGCAUAAUUUACUUCUUAAUUAGUUAGAUUCUCUAAAUUUACUUAAAUCUAAUUAACUUAAUUAAAAUCUAUCUGUUACUUUUCUUGCUUUACAU
rnacentral:lncRNA from 1 species